rnacentral:rRNA from 1 species
UUAUUAACGCUGAGGUGUGAUGACGAGGCACUACGGUGCUGAAGUAACAAAUGCCCUGCUUCCAGGAAAAGCCUCUAAGCAUCAGGUAACAUCAAAUCGUACCCCAAACCGACACAGGUGGUCAGGUAGAGAAUACCAAGGCGCUUGAGAGAACUCGGGUGAAGGAACUAGGCAAAAUGGUGCCGUAACUUCGGGAGAAGGCACGCUGAUAUGUAGGUGAAGCCCCUGCGGGUGGAGCUGAAAUCAGUCGAAGAUACCAGCUGGCUGCAACUGUUUAUUAAAAACACAGCACUGUGCAAACACGAAAGUGGACGUAUACGGUGUGACGCCUGCCCGGUGCCGGAAGGUUAAUUGAUGGGGUUAGCGGCAACGCGAAGCUCUUGAUCGAAGCCCCGGUAAACGGCGGCCGUAACUAUAACGGUCCUAAGGUAGCGAAAUUCCUUGUCGGGUAAGUUCCGACCUGCACGAAUGGCGUAAUGAUGGCCAGGCUGUCUCCACCCGAGACUCAGUGAAAUUGAACUCGCUGUGAAGAUGCAGUGUACCCGCGGCAAGACGGAAAGACCCCGUGAACCUUUACUAUAGCUUGACACUGAACACUGGUCCUUGAUGUGUAGGAUAGGUGGGAGGCUUUGAAGUGUGGACGCCAGUCUGCAUGGAGCCGUCCUUGAAAUACCACCCUUUAAUGGCUGGUGUUCUAACGUAGACCCGUAAUCCGGGUUGCGGACAGUGUCUGGUGGGUAGUUUGACUGGGGCGGUCUCCUCCCAAAGAGUAACGGAGGAGCACGAAGGUUAGCUAAUCCUGGUCGGACAUCAGGAGGUUAGUGCAAUGGCAUAAGCUAGCUUGACUGCGAGAGUGACGGCUCGAGCAGGUGCGAAAGCAGGUCAUAGUGAUCCGGUGGUUCUGAAUGGAAGGGCCAUCGCUCAACGGAUAAAAGGUACUCCGGGGAUAACAGGCUGAUACCGCCCAAGAGUUCAUAUCGACGGCGGUGUUUGGCACCUCGAUGUCGGCUCAUCACAUCCUGGGGCUGAAGUAGGUCCCAAGGGUAUGGCUGUUCGCCAUUUAAAGUGGUACGCGAGCUGGGUUUAGAACGUCGUGAGACAGUUCGGUCCCUAUCUGCCGUGGGCGCUGGAGAAUUGAGGGGGGCUGCUCCUAGUACGAGAGGACCGGAGUGGACGCAUCACUGGUGUUCGGGUUGUCAUGCCAAUGGCACUGCCCGGUAGCUAAAUGCGGAAAAGAUAAGUGCUGAAAGCAUCUAAGCACGAAACUUGCCCCGAGAUGAGUUCUCCCUGAGACUUUAAGUCUCCUGAAGGAACGUUGAAGACGACGACGUUGAUAGGUCGGGUGUGUAAGCGCAGCGAUGCGUUGAGCUAACCGAUACUAAUGAACCGUGAGGCUUAACCUU